GGAGGGGGGCAAGCGUUAUUCGGAUUUACUGGGCGUAAAGCGCACGUAGGUGGCAUGGGUAAGUCAAAGGGUGAAAGCCCUCGGCUCAACCGAGGAAUUGCCUUUGAAACUGCCCUUGCUUGAGUCCGGGAGGGGGGAGCGGAAUUCCCAGUGUAGCGGUGAAAUGCGUAGAUACUGGGAGGAACACCGGUGGCGAAGGCGGCUCCCUGGACCGGUACUGACACUGAGGUGCGAAAGCGUGGGUAGCAAACAGGAUUAGAUACCCUGGUAGUCCACGCCGUAAACGAUGGGCACUAGGUGCAGCGGGUGUCGACCCCUGCUGUGCCGUAGUUAACGCAUUAAGUGCCCCGCCUGGGGAGUACGGUCGCAAAGGCUG
rnacentral:rRNA from 1 species